AGUGAACGCUGGCGGUAGGCCUAACACAUGCAAGUCGAACGGCAGCACAGUAAGAGCUUGCUCUUACGGGUGGCGAGUGGCGGACGGGUGAGGAAUACAUCGGAAUCUACUUUUUCGUGGGGGAUAACGUAGGGAAACUUACGCUAAUACCGCAUACGACCUACGGGUGAAAGCAGGGGAUCUUCGGACCUUGCGCGAUUGAAUGAGCCGAUGUCGGAUUAGCAAGUUGGCGGGGUAAAGGCCCACCAAGGCGACGGUCCUUAGCUGGUCUGAGAGGAUGAUCAGCCACCCUGGAACUGAGACAGGGCCCAGACACCUACGGGAGGCAGCAGUGGGGAAUAUUGGACAAUGGGCGCAAGCCUGAUCCAGCCAUACCGCGUGGGUGAAGAAGGCCUUCGGGUUGUAAAGCCCUUUUGUUGGGAAAGAAAAGCAGCAGGUUAAUACCCCGCUGUUCUGACGGUACCCAAAGAAUAAGCACCGGCUAACUUCGUG
rnacentral:rRNA from 1 species